GCGAGGUUGCUGGGAGUGCACACACAGACGAGAGCUGCCAUCAUGCAGGCGCUGUGGCUUUACAUCAAACACAACCAGCUGCAGGAUGGGCAUGAGCGGGAGUACAUCAACUGCAACCGCUACUUCCGCCAGAUCUUCAGCUGUGGCCGGCUCCGUUUCUCCGAGAUCCCCAUGAAGCUGGCUGGGCUGCUGCAGCAUCCAGACCCCAUUGUUAUUAACCAUGUCAUUAGCGUGGACCCUAAUGACCAGAAGAAGACAGCCUGUUAUGACAUCGACGUAGAGGUUGAUGACCCCCUGAAGGCCCAGAUGAGUAACUUCCUGGCCUCUACCACCAACCAGCAGGAGAUUGCCUCUCUUGAUGUCAAGAUCCAUGAGACCAUUGAGUCCAUCAACCAGCUGAAGACCCAGAGGGACUUCAUGCUCAGCUUCAGCACCGAGCCCCAGGACUUCAUCCAGGAAUGGCUCCGCUCCCAACGCCGAGACCUCAAGAUCAUCACAGAUGUGAUUGGAAACCCUGAGGAGGAGAGACGAGCUGCUUUCUACCACCAGCCCUGGGCUCAGGAAGCAGUUGGGAGGCACAUCUUUGCCAAGGUGAGGCUUUGCCUUUUUGCCUCCUUUUCUUGAGAAGCUGAAGCCUGAGACAUGCUCUGUCUUCUUCAGGUGCAGCAGCGAAGGCAGGAACUGGAACAGGUGCUGGGAAUUCGCCUGACCUAACUGCUCAGGGAUUGCUUCCUUCCUUCCCUGCCCUGGAACCUGGCAGGAGACCACCUCGUGGUCAUGGCUGGGGCUGCAGACAUACAGGAUGGAGUGAGGUGUAUCUCCUGUCACCCUCUACUCCCCAGCUUUAGUUUCAUAAGUGUAGUUUUAGAGUCCUCACUGCUUGGUCCCCAAAGCCUUAUUACUUACCUUUUAGCACUGGCUUUAAUUAGGUUUGCAACGUGCUGCCUCAGCCCCCUGCAGGCAGGCCCAGGUAGGACUGCUGGAGGCUGUGCUUUUAACUUUGUAACAGACAUUUCCGAACCAAAGGCUGCUGGGUUUGCAUGUUUACAGGCUCCACCCUAGGGCCAGUGUCAGAGCUGGCUUUGGGGAGCUGGGCAAGGAAGAGGAGGCCCAGCCCAGACUCUUCCUGGCCUUUCUCAACCAAAGUUCUUUGCCAUUCCUACAAGCCCAGCCUUGCUGCUGGUUGUCCUUCUCUUUGGGUAUUUGCACUAUUUGGGGAGCAGGUUUUUCUAUGUGGGAGCCACUUUUUUGUACAGAGGUAACGGGGUUUUUCAGGGAGCCCACUUGGUGCCUCCUUCCUUAUUUUCUUUUCUUAAUCUAUGCAAGCGGCUGCAGCCGCCAUCAUCUCCUGGAUGCCAUGGGGCUGCCCACCCAUAGCUGAUUGAGCAGGGGGAGGUGGAACCUCCUGAGGGUGGGAAUGUGCCAGCUCUCUAACCCAGCUAAAGAAGGGGCGUACGUGUGUGCGUGCACUCUGCAGGGGAAGGGGAAAGCUGGAGAUCUGUUGUUACCUUUUGCAGUUGGUCUUAAAGAGGGUGGGCCUAAGGCUUGGCAAAUGCCACUUCUGGCAAACUUGGAAAAUUCCAAAUAAAUCUUUUUGUUUAUUGGU
rnacentral:lncRNA from 1 species